rnacentral:rRNA from 1 species
AAUGAACGCUGGCGGCAGGCCUAACACAUGCAAGUAGAACGAGUGGCGGACGGGUGAGUAAUGUCUGGGAAACUGCCUGAUGGAGGGGGAUAACUACUGGAAACGGUAGCUAAUACCGCAUACUAUAAGAUGUGCCCAGAUUGGAAUAGCUAGUUGGUGGGGGAAAGGCUAACCAAAGCGACGAUCCCUAGCUGGUCUGAGAGGAAGACAAGCAACACUGGAACUGAGACACGGUCCAGACUCGUACGGGAGGCAGAAGUGGGGAAUAUUGCACAAUGGGCGAAAGCCUGAUGCAGCCAUGCCGCGUGUAUGAAGAAGGCCUUCGGGUUGUAAAGUACUUUCAGCGGGGAGGCGUUACCCGCAGAAGAAGCACCGGCUAACACCGUGCCAGCAGCCGCGGUAAUUC